rnacentral:lncRNA from 1 species
CGCCACUUCCUCCAAGCGCGACCUUCUGCUUUGAAGAUCUGCGCAAGCGCAAGGUCUUCGAGAUUUUAACACUGGAGCAUAGAGGAGGUCAGUCUCUACUGACUGCUGAACAUCCAACACGUGACACCCAGGAGUUGUCUACCACCAUGUUUUGGACUAAGGGAAAAAAGCAGGUAAAGAGAGAGAUGUAAGUCCUGACCAUGUCAGAGUACCUGGAUCCAGCAUGUUCCUGAGUCCCAGCUGCAUUCCUGUCCUUGCAUUCUGAUUAUUAGUUUCCUAUUUGUGUUAGCCACUUGGAAUUGGGUUUCUAUUAUUUGUAAGGAAGAGUCCUAACAAUUCCAGAGAUGGACCAAUACUCUGUCAGAGGCCUUUCAGAUCUCACAUUCCAAGAGUUGAUGAAGGCUUCUCCCUCCCACUCAGGGCCACCUCUUUACCAUAUGUUACUUUUGUGAGAACUAGAAAAAGGUGCCCCUUCCUCAAGACACUUUAUGCCACAUGCUGGAAAAUUGUCACAAAAUACUGGUGUUCUGAGAACAGGGCACUCUAUUACAAGAAAAUUGGAUCUACCAUCUCCACUAUGUGAAUUCCACCCCUAGAGACAUGCAUUGUACAACUUACUCAUCCAGGUAAAACAGCCCUGUCAACUGUCCCUCAUUUCACCUUUGAACAUGCAGAUUGUAUAUUCCCUUUCAGAAUUCAGAAAAAUGCAACAUCAUGGAAGUUCCAGGAUGUCUGAAACCAGAGCACUGUAGCCACAAACAUCAGAACACAAACACACUGUUCUCCAGGAUGGCCUGCUUGGCCAGCCUCCCCCACCAUACUACUGCAGCCUCACCAGCCAGAGUCACUGAAAUUAAAGCCUGUAAGAAGCUGUCAGAUGAAAAAAUCUGUUUCUCCCUGUUGAGAGUUGAAUUGUAUUCCCCCCAAAUAGAUAUGUUCAAGUCCUAACCCCUGCUACCUGUAAAUGUGACCUUAUUUGGAAAUAGAGUCUUUGCAGAUGUAAUCAAGUUAAAAUGAGAUCAUACUGGAGUAGGUUGUCCCUAAAUCCAAUGAGUAGUGUCCUUAUAAGUGGAGAAGAAAAAAGAUACAGACACACAGGGGGAAUAUCAUGGGAAGAAAGAGGCAGAGAUUGGAGUGAUGCAGCUCCAAGCCAAGGAAUGCCAAGGAUUCUGGCAGCCACCAGAAGCCAGGAGAAGGCAUGGAACACAUUCUCCCUCUGAGCCCCAAGAAGGAGCCAGCCCUGCUGACACUUUGAUUUUGGACUCCCAGCCUCCAGAACUGUAAGAGAAUACAUUUCUCUUGUUUUAAGCCACUUAGUUUAUUGUGCUUUCUUGUGGCAGCCCUAGGAAGCUAAUACACUCCUUUGUUAAUACAGCAGAUCCUUGAAUAACAUCAUUUUGUGCAAGAUCGUUUCAUGAUAACAUUGAUGAGUCCAGGCAUGGUGGCUCAUGCCCGUAAUUCCAACACUCGGGGAGGCCAAGGCAGGAGGAUUGCUUGAGCCCAGGAGUUUG